GAGUGAGAAUCAGUUAAAAGUGUUUGAUGCAACUUUUUUGUUCAAAUCUUACAAAAUGUUUACGUUAUGUUUAUAAUGAGCGAGUACAUCACGAAUCAAUCUUUCAAUCCGUGUUUUUGUCUUAUACUGAAUCACCAUGGUAGACGUAUAAUAAGUGUUUAUUUUCGGAUUAUUUUAGUCCGGCGGGUACCCGCGCGCUGCGGAGUAGCACAAUACCUGUGUGACUCGUCCAUAGACUUAAACAGAGAAGUAGCGCCGGUUACAAUGUUCUUCCGCAAGAUGCAUGCAGACGCAGUUUUGUGCGUCUCAGUGGGUAGUUGCAUACGUGUGUCUCUGUUGUUAACGUUUAUUGUAAUAUUUAUCGUUAAUUUGAGACUUAUUUUAACAAUCGGGAGUCAUGUAAACAUGACGUCACGUGCGUCUUUUCUGGUCAGUCGUCAUGAAAACAUGGCGCUUGGAACAGAAUGAAAACAAACAACAUCACUGUAUACCACCAGAACCGGACAUAAAGAAUGAUUGAACUACACCAACGACAUGUAAUUUGCAUGUGACCUUCACCUGUGAUGAAUCUGUCACACUCUUUCCUGUUCAUAUAUCCUCGAAUCUGAGAAGGAUUUAGUCGUCUUCUUUAAGCUCAUCAUCAGACGCCUCUGUCUGUCUGUGCAUGUGACAGCAGUCAUGGCAUUCAGUCCAAAACAUCUUAAGAGAUGACUUCAAAAGCAGAUGCCACACAACCCUUUGGGAUGUCAUACAGCAGGUGUAGCUUGUGAAGAGAGCUGAUGGUGCAGGAGGUUUGAAUCAGUUUGACCUUGACCUUUAAGACAGACCAGACCCAGUCAGUUUGAUAGAGGUAAAAAGAGAAAUGCAGAAAGAGGGGGAGACAACUGUUUGCUUGUAGAAUUUGAUGUGACCUUUUCAUUGCCCCAUUUGUAAUGAAUGAACAUUACUCUGAACAAAACCCCCAGCCGAAUUUAAAUAACUUAUGAACAUUUGUGCAAGGAAAAAUAAUGAAACAUAAAUUAUACGUCUUCGCAAAUAACAUUAAUACUUUACAACUUUACAUGAAUGUAUGCAAAUUUAACCUUAUUUUAGGGUUAACAUAACAUUAAAGUGUUAAAUUAGCAUUUUACGUUAAUGACAUGCUCCUAGGCCAAAUAAUCAAACUAGAACAAAAUUAAAAGAAAAAUAUAGAUUAAAUAAUAUAAAUCAAACAUAAAGAAACCUCUGCAAUGUUUUUAUAAAUGAAAUAAAACUGAGGAAAGCCUCUCUGGGGACUUUCAGACAAAUUUAUGCACACCGGUUUAUAUGUUAAUGAUUUUCAUUAAAGAUAAUAAAUUCAAUUCAUGAGAUUGCAUUUAUGUGCUAAAAUCUUGAAAUAGCCUUCAAUCUUUUUACAGACAGCACUUCUUAAUCAAACCAUGCUGAAUCAUUUUUGUACAGGUUAAGCAUAAAUUAUGCAUUUUAGGCAUCAACAUUUUUAUUUCAGUUCAGAUUUAUUUCUAUAGGAUUUUUUAAAAAUAAUUGUUUGCAUUGUUGCGAUAAAUAAAUAUAAGUACAGACAGUAGAGACAGUAUUGCUUAUAAAAUACAUAGACUACAGUAAUCUGACCCUUAUAUUCAUCAAAGCUAUAAACAAGCAAAAAUAAUUGCUAUUUUGUGCUAUUAAGCAAAUACGCACAUCAGAUUUCUCACAAGAUGUAUAAUGAUCAAAUAAAUUGUAUGAUUGUACUUGAAUUGGAUUAAAGGUAUAGUUCAUCAAAAAAAAAAAAAUUCUGUAAUCAUUUAUUCACUCUCAUGUUGUUACAAACCUGUAUAAAUUUCCUUGUUCUGAUGAACACAAAGAAAGAUAUUUUUAGGAAUGUUU